CACGAAAUGAAAUUAACCUUUGUAGAAAGUCGUCACCCCUUCUUUCGCCUUAUUCUUGUUCGUCGGGCGUUCACAGCAAUCGGUAGUCGUCGUUUCCUCUCGCCAGUUAAGUCCUGCGAGUAGAAAAUCAUCUCGGUUGAUAUUUAUUGUCAAGAGGACGAAGCUGAAUACUGUAAACGAAGAUAAUUGUGCUAUUUCAAGUGAAGAUUCAAGGCAUAACAGGAAUCUUUGAGGAGGGUAAAGUUAAGGGGAAGGAUGUCAAAGUCUUGCAAAGGUUUAGCGAUGGAACUGGUCAAGUGUCUCAGCGAAUCCGAUUGUGUAAAGGUACAGAACCGAACUUACAAGGAAUGUGCUGGAGAGAAGAGUCCUUGCAUUCCUAGUGAAUGCGUGGGAUUAAGGGAAACAUAUUUCAAUUGUAAAAGAGGCCAGGUUGACAUGAGGGCGAGGAUUCGGGGGAACAAGGGUUAUUGAAUGAGGAAUGGAGGUUUGGGAAAGGCCUGGAGCAAUCCCAUGGGAAGAAGUUUGAAACACUGAAUGCCUGGAAGCUUGUCUGCAAUGAAUGACCUGUAUGAAGAAAUUGAUUUUGUUAAUGAAUCAAGUACACACCUAUAAUGAAAUGAAGGCAUGUAUGCAUAAAUAAGCAAAGGAGUCAACGUUUUGGCGGUGAAGAAUGAGAUAGAAACUUACAAAUUUGGGCAAAUUCCAGAGCGUUUCCAGUGGGGUAGAGAGAGAAAGAGUCGGGUAGAGAGAGAAAGCAUGAAAGCGAGCGACGAAGAAGAAACGCCAAGUGGAAUUCAAACAAAGCCUGCCGCGUCUUCGUGUCAAAAAGAGGUUAGAAACUAAAAGCAAGGUUUGAAGCUGUGCCAUGAAUGCAGAAACCAAGUUCUUGCCUUGUAUUGGAUAUAAAUAAUAUCAGUAAUCUCUCUGCUUCAGAAUUUGUAGCUGCUGCUAGUAAAGCAGUUUAUCAAGCAAGCACACACAGCUGGUGAAAGGAUUUUCCAAUGGCUUGUUUGAAUGGCCUGAUGGUUUUGGCUUUUCAUGCAGCAGAAUAUGAAGGGGAGAGGAAAUGAAGAAAUGCUCUAACUGCUGGUAGACUGAAGGGUAUCAGCAAUGGAUUUGGAUGUUGUUCAUGAAUUUUCAUAGCUUUUGGAAGAAAGGUUAUAAAACAGUUAAUAUUAAGUUUAUGACAGGAUCUCAGGCUUAUGACUAGAAGAAUGUGUGUGGGGAGUACAUGGAUUGGAAUAUUUGAAUUCUUGGGAGCUGCAAAAAAGUUUCUAAUCAUCUGUGUUUAUUAAUUCCGAUCAUAUUUCGUA